rnacentral:rRNA from 1 species
GAUGAACGCUGGCGGCGUGCCUAAUACAUGCAAGUCGAGCGAACAGACGAGGAGCUUGCUCCUCUGACGUUAGCGGCGGACGGGUGAGUAACACGUGGAUAACCUACCUAUAAGACUGGGAUAACUUCGGGAAACCGGAGCUAAUACCGGAUAAUAUAUUGAACCGCAUGGUUCAAUAGUGAAAGACGGUUUUGCUGUCACUUAUAGAUGGAUCCGCGCCGCAUUAGCUAGUUGGUAAGGUAACGGCUUACCAAGGCAACGAUGCGUAGCCGACCUGAGAGGGUGAUCGGCCAAACUGGAACUGAGACACGGUCCAGACUCCUACGGGAGGCAGCAGUAGGGAAUCUUCCGCAAUGGGCGAAAGCUUGACGGAGCAACGCUGCGUGAGUGAUGAAGGUCUUCGGAUCGUAAAACUCUGUUAUUAGGGAAGAACAAAUGUGUAAGUAACUAUGCACGUCUUGACGGUACCUAAUCAGAAAGCCACGGCUAACUACGUG